rnacentral:rRNA from 1 species
GACGUAGGGAGCGAGCGUUGUCCGGAAUUACUGGGGCGUAAAGAGCUCGUAGGCGGGACCGUAAGUCCGAGAGGAAAUCUCAAGGCUCAACUUUGGGGCUUUCUUGGAUACUGCGGUUCUUGAGGAUGAGAGAGGUAAGUAGAAUUCCCGGUGUAGCGGUGAAAUGCGUAGAUAUCGGGAGGAAUACCAGUGGCGAAGGCGGCUUCCUGGCCUGUUCUUGACGCUGAGGCGCGAAAGCUAGGGUAGCAAACGGGG